UAAGUGGUUGAGGCACACCUCAGGAGACGCCUGUGAAGAUGUGUCCUCCGAAGAGGAUCGUCUGAGUGGGGGAGACUCACCCUGAAUGUGGGCAGUGCCACCCAAUGGGCCAGAGGCACAGACAAUAGAAGAACGAUGGAUGGAACAGAGGAUGGAGUUCCUGGUUGCCAUGAUGUGAACUGUUCAGCUCUGCCAUGCCCUAUCCUCCAAAGUGGAGUGAGCGUCCGAACUCAUGAACACAAAUACACCUUCUUUUCCGUAUUGAACCCAGGGCCUUAUUCAUUCCAGGCAAGCAGCCUAUCACUGAGCCACAGCCACAGGCCCUCCACUGGGGGAUUCUAGGCAGGGGCUCUACCAUUGAAUCACAUCUGAGCCCCUCAUUCGGGGAUUCUAGUAUAUUACUGCGGCCCCCAAGAACUCCAGGCUGGGUGAAGCCAUGUCACCAUUUCCAUGAUAAAUCCUGUUUUCUAAGGGCUUUGUAACGCCGCUGGAAAUAUGUAAUUCAGGC